rnacentral:rRNA from 1 species
GACGAACGCUGGCGGCGUGCUUAACACAUGCAAGUCGAACGGAAAGGCCUUUUCGGAGGUACUCGAGUGGCGAACGGGUGAGUAACACGUGGGUGAUCUGCCCUGCACUCUGGGAUAAGCCUGGGAAACUGGGUCUAAUACCGGAUAGGACCGCACUUUAGUGUGUGUGGGGGAAAGUUUUUUCGGUGUAGGAUGAGCCCGCGGCCUAUCAGCUUGUUGGUGGGGUAAUGGCCUACCAAGGCGGCGACGGGUAGCCGGACUGAGAGGUUGGUCGGCCACAUUGGGACUGAGAUACGGCCCAGACUCCUACGGGAGGCAGCAGUGGGGAAUAUUGCACAAUGGGCGCAAGCCUGAUGCAGCGACGCCGCGGGGGGGAUGACGGCCUUCGGGUUGUAAACUCCUUUCGCCAGGGACGAAGCGUUUUGUGACGGUACCUGGAGAAGAAGGACCGGCUAACUACGUG